rnacentral:lncRNA from 1 species
AAGCUGAAGAUCAUGCAGUUACCCCAGAGGAUGUGACUGAGCAAACAAAACCCAAUGAGCCUGGUUAAGGCUAGAAAAAGAGGAAAGUGAAAUUUGAAAGAGCCUAUCUUAGUUAGGAUCUCUACUGUACUGAUAAAACACCAUGACCAAAAGCAACUUGGGAAGGAUAACUCAGGGUAAUUUCAUAUCACAGUCCAUCACUGAAGGAAGGCAGUCAGGACUUAAGGCAAAAACCCAGAAUGAGGAGCUGAAGCAGAGGCCACGGAGGGACACUUUUCACUGGCUUGCAAUUAAUGGCUUCCUCUGCUUGUUUACAUACAGCACUGAGGACCCUUGAGCAGAGGUGAUACAUUCACAGUGAGCUGGACCCUCGCCUGUCAAUUAUCAACCAGGAAAAUCCCACAAGCAAUCUGAUGGGAGCACUUUCUCAAUUGAGUUUUCCUUUUCUAAAAUGACUCUAGCCUGUGUCAAGUUGACAUAAAACUGUCUAGCACCGAGCUCAAUAAAAGGAAAUGAAAAUAAAACAUAAAAACAAAACCUGAUGAGAACAUUCAAAAAAGAAAAUUAUAAAUAAUUCCAAAUAUAUUAGUAACUUUAUCAGAAGAGGAUUAAGUUCUUCUUUUAAAAUAUGUACAUGAUUAUAUUAUAUUAUCAAUAUUUCUAAAUACAGCUAUCUGCCAUGUACAAAAUAUGUGCCUAAAAUAUGUGAGCAAAAGAAAGAUUCCGACUGGAAAAUUCUUACCAAAGAAAAGCUGAUACAACGAUAUUUCUGUAUUAAAAUUCUUGACUGUGAGCAAUGGAAGCUCUUCAAGCUGUAACGUGAGAAGUGCAAUUUUAAAACCCUUAGGACAAAGUGGCUUCAAGGGCAAGAGACCCAGGGGUCUGUACAUGGCUCUCCUCAAGUCCUCACCCGAGGAUACAUCAGUGCACUUACUGAAGCCACUACCCAUGGAAACAGGAAAACAACUGCAAAACUUUAGUGGGAGCUACUCAUACAAGAACAGGAACAGUUUGUGUUGCCAGGCAGAGCAGCGAACUUUCAAUAUUCACAGGAUGUCAGAGUAAUCAGAAGUAAUCAAUCACGUGGAAAAAUUAGCCCCAGAUUAAGGUUGCUCUGGUCCUACCUAACAAAGCUUGAAAACGAAGCCUCCAAAGAAUCAAACUGUUUUCAAGUAACUUAAUUGCAUCCCAAGAUAGAGCUCAAGAAUAUUUAUAGGAAGCAAAAAUAUCUAUGGAGCCUCAAGUUGUGCGCAACUAGCAGCUUUGCUUCAAGGCAGCUAAUCCUUGCAUAUACCCAUGGAGAUGUGUGCUGAUUUAUUGCAGCAAUUGAGAAACACUAGACUGAACUCAAGGGCCCAGCAAUAAGGCAAUGCAUAAUUAAAUUGAAGUAUAUUCACACGAUGGGAUAUUAUACCUCAUUAACAAUGAGCUGAACCUAUAUAUUAACAUAUUCAAAUCUCAAAAUAAAUAUGCUGUAGACAUAUUUGGGGGAAAAAUUAAAUGGCGCUGGUGAUAUUCUAUGUAGAUAGACAGCUAAGAUGUAUUGAGUGACUGUAUGUAUUGAGCCCUGUAAGGAUAUGUUAUCUCACUUUUUAUAAAAAAUGUAUUUAUUUUAGUUUUAUGAGUACACUGUAGAUUCAGACACACACCAGAAGAGUGCAUUGGAUCCCAUUACAGAUGGUUGUGGGCCAUCAUGUGGAAUUGAACUCAAGACCUUUGGAAGAACAGUUGGUGCUCUUAACUGCUGAGCCAUUUCUCCAGGCUUGUGUUAACUCAUUUAAUUCACCAACAUUUACCUGAUAGAUGGUGGAACUAAGGGGUGGAACCAGCAAUUACGGGAGCUUAUUCAUUUAUUUAAUGGCCCAAGAGCUCUGCUGUCAUGUUAUAGGGUUACACAAGGUGACUCUGGGUUUAUGGACUUAGAUGGCUAGGAAUGCCUCAUGCUGUCAUUUUUAUUCUUAAAAAAAAACAAAACAGAACAACAACAACAACAACAAUUUGAUAACAAGGUCAACAUUGGCCAGACCCAGGUGGUGAAUUUGGACUGUAACUUGAUUGCCUAUUCUUUUUUAUAAGUCUCAAUUAACUUAUGCUGAAAUUUCUU